CUCCAAAGGCGAUCACGACCCCAGAUAAUGAAAUCAAUGGAACAAACAAUAACUUUCUUCAAUGUUAUCAGUAUGAAGAAGCUUGUGCUUCUGUUCCGGAAGAUCUAUGCCGGCUAAACAUGAGAGAGGACUGCCUUAUAUUGAACGUGUUUACUCCGGCAUC